rnacentral:tRNA from 1 species
GUAUGGCUCAGUGGUAGAGCACAUGCUUAGCAUGCAUGAGGUCCUGGGUUCAAUCCCCCGUAC